UAAGGAAUAUUGGACAAUGGACGCAAGUCUGAUCCAGCCAUGCCGCGUGAAGGAUGAAUGCCCUCUGGGUUGUAAACUUCUUUUAUAGGGGAAGAAAGAUACUUUUUUUAAGGUAGUUGACGGUACCCCAUGAAUAAGCACCGGCUAACUCCGUGCCAGCAGCCGCGGUAAUACGGAGGGUGCAAGCGUUAUCCGGAUUUACUGGGUUUAAAGGGUUCGUGGGCGGGCAUGUAAGUCAGUGGUGAAAUACCGGAGCUUAACUUCGGAACUGCCAUUGAAACUAUAUGUCUUGAAUAUUGUGGAGGUAAGCGGAAUAUGUCAGGUAGCGGUGAAAUGCAUAGAUAUGACAUAGAACACCGAUUGCGGAGGCAGCUUGCUACGCAAAUAUUGACGCUGAGGCACGAAAGCGUGGGGAUCAAACA
rnacentral:rRNA from 1 species